UANCUACUCCCUCCGUUGCACAAUACUACAUGCCUUCUAUUUGUCAAAAUAUAUAUGUAUCUAGACAUGUCUUAGUAUAUAGGUACAUCCAUUUUUGGACAAAUGGAAGUCAAGUAUUUUGGAAUGGAGGGGGUACACA
rnacentral:pre_miRNA from 1 species